rnacentral:ncRNA from 1 species
AAAGAUGACUUAACCGUUUAUAUGCAUUGUGUUAUUCAGGAAAUUGUGAAUCAGGUUAAGUUAUCAUUCGAUAACGAUAAGUUGAUUUUCCGCAUUUGAGUUACUUAAAGUGAUGUCGCGGAAAAGGAAGGUUUUAAAAAUGAAACAAUUUUAUACAAUCUCUUUAUUCAAGAAAAAAAAAUUUACCCAUUUUUCCGCAAUGUUUUGAGAAGUAUUUUUCGGGGCGUUACAGCCCGAGGUAGAGCACUCAAUGGGCUAGGGUGGCCCCAUUGCGCCUUACCAACCCUAGGGAAACUCCAAAGACAAGCCUAGAUCGUUUGUACAAACGGACUUUUAGGGUGCUAAGAUCCAAAGUCGAUAGGGAAAUAGCCCAGAUCGUACGCUAAGGUCCCUAAGCAAUCACUUAGUGGAAAAGGAAGUGAUUGAGCGAUGACAACCAGGAGGUGGGUUUGGAAGCAACCAUCCUUUGAAGAAAGCGCAAUAGCUCACUAGUCUAGCUCCAUGGCACCGAAAAUGUAUCAGGGCUCAAGUGAUUCACUGAAAGACGAGACCUUGAAAGUUGUUCAAGUGUCAGUAGCGGGACGUUCUGUCAAUCGGGGAAGGUUUUUGGUGACAAGACCUGGAGAUAUCAGAAGUGAGAAUGCUGACAUGAGUAACGAUAAAUCCUGUGAAAAACACGAUCGCCUGCCAGUGGAAGGCUUUCUGCGUUCAGUUAAUCUACGCAGAGUGAAUCAGUCCCUAAGGAAGCCCCGAAAGGGCUGCCGUCCAAUGGGUACACGAAAGUGACGAAGUUGCUUUGACUACAGAACCAUGCCUGUCUGUUGGAGUGAAUUGGAUGAUCGGGCCGAGGGCAUCUU